AGUUGUUACCUUGACAGCAGGAGUGCAGCAUGCGAGCAUCUCUGCUGGUCCCCAUGUGAUCUGUCACUGUGACGCUAUGUGUUUGUACAUGUGCAAGACUCCAGAAGGUAGACUACCCACGAGUGUCCCAUAUACCCUCUCCUAGAGGCAGGGCUGGGCCUACUGGGGUCAGCGUGCACUGUGUCUUUGCUGUUCCUCUGACGUCAACUGAUGGGACCCCUUAAGCCAGAGGCAGAUCUCUCAGGGAAUACAGCAUGAUUCCUGAUAUGGGCAAAGUGCUGGAUACCCACAAUUGUGUUAUAAUUUCCUCUGGCUAUAUACCUGAGCACCGAUGCUUGACCUUUUAGAAAUAAUCUCCAAAGUAAAUGGGAUGGACUCAGGAGAUGUGAAGGACAAUCCAUUGUCCUAGGCAAGAGUGUAGCCAAACUUUUAAUUCCUAUUUCCACACUAUGUAAAUAAUUAUAUAUGUUUUAACUAAAAAGGAAGAAAAGUUAAACUUUG